CCGCUGCCGACGACGCCGAGAUCUCUCCGCCGCCGACGACGACCACAGAGCUGGAUUUCUCACCUCGGAGGAGAAACAGGGAACUCGAGAAAGUGGAGUUGGGGCUGGAUCGCCGGCGGCAAAGGCCGGACCAACGGUGGCGCAGCCAUGAUUGCCAAACAUGAAUGGCAGCCACCAUCCAUGUAGCUUCUUGUAGUUCUUGGCGCUUGGAGAUGGGGUGAGCAUCAAGGGACAAGUACUGCGGCUAUGCUUCAACGUGCCAUAGCUCUGGACUCGACACCGGCGACCACCAUGGCACCUAAUUUGCCGGACAAGCACGGAGGAUCUCUCCGGCGGCACCAUG